AACGAACGCUGGCGGCAGGCCUAACACAUGCAAGUCGAACGCCCCGCAAGGGGAGUGGCAGACGGGUGAGUAACACGUGGGAACAUACCCUUCGGUUCGGAAUAACUCAGGGAAACUUGAGCUAAGACCGGAUACGUCCGCGAGGAGAAAGAUUCAUCGCCGGAGGAUUGGCCCGCGUCCGAUUAGCUAGUUGGUGAGGUAACGGCUCACCAAGGCGACGAUCGGUAGCUGGUCUGAGAGGAUGAUCAGCCACAUUGGGACUGAGACACGGCCCAAACUCCUACGGGAGGCAGCAGUGGGGAAUAUUGGACAAUGGGCGAAAGCCUGAUCCAGCCAUGCCGCGUGAGUGAUGAAGGCCCUAGGGUUGUAAAGCUCUUUCGUCAGGGACGAUAAUGACGGUACCUGAAGAAGAAGCCCCGG
rnacentral:rRNA from 1 species